rnacentral:misc_RNA from 1 species
UACCUCGUGGUGAUAAGA